UCAUAUAGGUUCAUCGGCUGAUGCUGGA
rnacentral:sRNA from 1 species